UUUUUUUUUUUUUUGCAAUUGUUAUGAAACACAGAUACCUUUCUUAUAGGACUAUACUCAAGUAGUUUAGGAGAUUGAAUAAAUCACUUGGCAUUCAUAUUCAAUAAUGCUCCAGGACAGCUAGGUCUUUCAAUUCUAUAUUGCCAACAAAUUGGCCAUUUUUACUAUGACUUCACUUUAGUUUUAUGAGCUGAAUGAAGCCAGUCAGAAACCUUAUAAAAUAGGCUGGGAAUAGAAGUCUAUGAACAUAAAAAUCAAAACAAAAACAGAAAACAAAAAAAACAUAACAAUACAUAAAAAAGAAAUUAACACAAACACAAAAGAGACCUCUAUUUUUCUUAUUUUCUUGUAGACUUUCUAUACCUUGCUGUGGAUUUAUUACCACAUUUCAGGCUUAUAAAAGUCAGAAAGACAUAAUUUACUGCCUAGGUUGCUGGUUACAUGCAAAUUCAAAUCCAGGCACUUACAUGUAAAUUUUAUCUUGAAGUUUGCCUUUUUGUUUGUUUUAAUAGAAGAAGCAAACAACCCAUGAAAGCUAUUCCUGAUUCUUUGGGUCUGUUUUUAAUCACUUAUAUUUCUAAGUAGUGCAAUGUCUUUUCCCAAAGCAUUUUAGUUACCUACUAAACAUGAUUGUCUUUAAUAGGCGAUAAACACCAUCUAUUUCUUUCAUUCUCAAGAACUAAAUUUUACUGUCUCGAAAGCUCUUAUACCUUUGUGUAUAAUAUGGGAAAUUUUAUUCUAAAAAUCACUAGUGAAAGAAAUGGAACAAAUCUAUUUCACUUCCCCCUCCCCCAAUCUUCUCUUCCCAAUGAAUGUCUUUCUUAGCCAUGAAAACCAAAGUAGAUUAUAUAGGCCAUGUGUUUGCAAAUGGUUAGGAUAUCCAUAUAUACUUCCAACAUCCAGCCAACCAGCAGAACAACUAUUAAGAUGGAUAAUUUAAAAACCACCAGGUGCUUUGGUGGCUCAGUUGGUUAAGUGUCUACCUUUGGCUCAGGUCAUAAUCUCAGGAUCCUGGGAUCAAGCCUGCUUCUCCCUCUGCCCCUCCUUCUGCCCAUGCUCUCUCUCUUAUUCUCGCUCAAAUAAAUAAAAUCUUUUUAAAAAAAUUAAAAUUCACUUUAGCAAGCUAUGUGGUAUGAAAGAACUGGUCCAGAGUCAGAAAACUAGAAUUCUAGUUCUGGCUUUGUAUCUCCAUUCCUAUGUUCUAAGUGCACUACCCCUUCCCUUGUCUAUUAACUAGCUAAGAGGUCCAUUCUUCUUAGUUGAAUACUGUCUUUUUCAUUGUGCUGGGUGUUGAAACAUGUAUUUCUUCUGCCUAAUUCUACUUACUGCUAAAUUAGGUGUAGAAUAAAGUGGGCUUGCAAGCACAGUGCCUGAUUAUAGUUAUGUUUUAUUGGCUUCCUUUAUAAAGCUGUUUUUCUUUUGAUUUUUUUAAGGUUUUUGUCUGUCACUUGAAAAACUGCUAAACUUGGAGGGUUUUUUUAUGGCAUAUUCUACUACAACUUAUUACAUCUGACAUUACAUCUUACGAAACAUGGUUACAAGUUGGGAGAUAGCCUUCAAAAACUAAGUAGGAUGUAAUUAGAUGUUUUUACCUAUAGACUGAAGUGAAGUUAAGAAGGGUAAAAAAAGUGGAAUCAGGAAUUUAUGUUACAAUUAAUAGAAAAAAUAUCUCAACACAUCCUUGUCAAGACAUCCUCACAAAUAUAGGUCUGAGUCUAUAAAUCCGUUCUCUGUUUUAAGGCAAAGGUAAAUGUAAGAGAGAUAAAGAAGAGUUCAAAUGUGAGUGGAAUGUGAGACAGCCUUGACCAGAGUCUACUGAACAAAUAUACUUAGUUGAUUUAAAACAUAGGAUGAUUUUGUCACAGAUCCCUGCAAUAAGAAGUUUCUCUUCUUGUCACUAAAAGAUCUUCCUGUUUCUUGAAGGCAAUCACUUUCUUUUCCAUUGAAGAUACUGAAGAGUCUUAUAGAAACUGUCAAUAUAAAGAAGAUAGCUUUGAGGAGAACUACACAAAACAUGCCUGCUAAUCUUUAUUGACAAAGAAUCUUAUUCGUUAAAUAGAGGGUUAAUGGAUGAUAAUCAAGGCAGAUUAGAUACAAAGAUAAUGAUACAGUGCCUUGAAGAGUCUUGUCUGGGCCUUCGUCAAGUUUAUGGAAACAAGUCACUGAUUCCAGUGUUUGGCCUAUAAUAAUUACUGGCUGUUUUGCUUCAGAGACUGCAUUUUACCUAGACAAGUCAAGGAUGAAAAGAACAAUUAAUGAGUGAAUCAUAUUGCAAGUAACCCAGGCGGGAGAAAUGAGCAAGACAAAUCUGUUUUUAAUUUAGGCCCAUGGCCAAAAUUCUAACAGAAGCAAGUUCACAAAUGUGAUACAAAGACAUUAGCAAUUACUUAUGAUGUUGAUAGUUCCACAGGCAAAGAACUGAUGUGUUCAAAGUGCCUUUCAUUAUAAACAACCUUUUCAGAUUGCCAGAAUUUUACAUACUAACUUGAAUGAAUUGAAUGCUUUCCAACGGAGGUCAAAAUUAAACUGAAACACGAACACAAUUCAGCCAACACAUUUAUGGGUGAAGCCUUUUGCUAACCAAGUAAUCAUGUAGAAAAUUCCUAAUAAAAUUAGAGAGUUGUUCUUCUUAUUUAAAGCUUGUAAAAUAUAUUUUUCCCUUUAUUU
rnacentral:lncRNA from 1 species